rnacentral:tRNA from 3 species
GCCGCCUUAGCUCAGUGGCAGAGCAACGGUUUUGUAAACCGUGGGUCGUCGGUUCAAGUCCGACAGGCGGCU